AUAUGAAAUGGACUAAAGGUUUACCGCUUAGGGAUGGGGAUGCGUCUGAUUAGGCAGUAGGCGGGGUAACGGCCCACCUAGCCGACGAUCAGUAGGGGUUCUGAGAGGAAGGUCCCCCACAUUGGAACUGAGACACGGUCCAAACUCCUACGGGAGGCAGCAGUGAGGAAUAUUGGUCAAUGGGCGGAAGCCUGAACCAGCCAAGUAGCGUGCAGGAUGACGGCCCUAUGGGUUGUAAACUGCUUUUAUACGGGGAUAAAACGGGGGACGUGUCCCUCCUUGCAGGUACCGUAUGAAUAAGGACCGGCUAAUUCCGUGCCAGCAGCCGCGGUAAUACGGAAGGUCCGGGCGUUAUCCGGAUUUAUUGGGUUUAAAGGGAGCGUAGGCCGCAGAUUAAGUGUGUUGUGAAAUGUAGAGGCUCAACCUCUGAAUUGCAGCGCAUACUGGUCUGCUUGAGUACGCACAACGUAGGCGGAAUUUGUCGUGUAGCGGUGAAAUGCUUAGAUAUGACGAAGAACUCCGAUUGCGAAGGCAGCUUACGGGAGCGCAACUGACGCUGAAGCUCGAAAGUGCGGGUAUCGAACAGGAUUAGAUACCCUGGUAGUCCGCACGGUAAACGAUGGAUGCCCGCUGUUGGCCCACCUGGGUCAGCGGCCAAGCGAAAGCAAUAAGCAUCCCACCUGGGGAGUACGCCGGCAACGGUGAAACUCAAAGGAAUUGACGGGGGCCCGCACAAGCGGAGGAACAUGUGGUUUAAUUCGAUGAUACGCGAGGAACCUUACCCGGGCUCAAACGCAUAGUGCUAUCCCCUGAAAGGGGGAGUUCUUCGGACAUUAUGCGAGGUGCUGCAUGGUUGUCGUCAGCUCGUGCCGUGAGGUGUCGGCUUAAGUGCCAUAACGAGCGCAACCCCCAUCUUCAGUUGCCACCGGGUCAUGCCGGGCACUCUGGAGAGACUGCCGGCGCAAGCUGUGAGGAAGGCGGGGAUGACGUCAAAUCAGCACGGCCCUUACGUCCGGGGUGACACACGUGUUACAAUGGCGGGGCUACAGAGGGAAGCCAGGUGGCGACACCGAGCGGAUCCCGAAAACCCGUCUCAGUUCGGAUCGGAGUCUGCAACCCGACUCCGUGAAGCUGGAUUCGCUAGUAAUCGCGCAUCAGCCAUGGCGCGGUGAAUACGUUCCCGGGCCUUGUACUCACCGCCCGUCAAG
rnacentral:rRNA from 1 species